rnacentral:lncRNA from 1 species
AUAAAAUUUUUGUCUAGACUUUGUUGAGAUCUUUUAGUCAAAAGGUGAGAAGUCCACUUGGUUCAAAAUAACUCUACUGGGAGUUAAAUUAACUUCAUGAAUUAACAGGGCCGUUUCGCAGAAGGAAUCACCAAUUCAUUCCCGGAUCUGGAGGAACGACUCAGUAGGUAUUCGACAAGUUUUAUCAUUGCCGAAUGUAGGAAUUUCUAUAGUUGUUUUUCUCAGUAUUUAGUUUUACAAAUUUUGCCAUUAAGAAUUGAUAAAUAUAGUAGAGACCUUUUCUCAUUUUUUCGUUAGUUUCCAUAGCAACGAUUGU